AUGAACAGAGCCGGCAGGCUUGCCCUCGUCAAGUCGGUCCUCUGCGCGAUCCCGGUGCACCAGCUGCUUGCUUUUGCCCCCACGAAGAAAACUCUGAGGCUUCGAGAAGAUUCAACGGGGAUUCUUAUGGGCUGGGCGAGCCGUCACCAACGGCGGUCACUGCCAUGUGAACUGGCACCUCGUCUCCCGCCCCCUCGAGCUUGGGGGUCUCGGGGUUCGCGACCUUGA
rnacentral:rRNA from 1 species